rnacentral:rRNA from 1 species
UACGUAGGGGGCGAGCGUUGUCCGGAAUUAUUGGGCGUAAAGAGCUCGUAGGCGGUUCGGCAAGUCACGUGUGAAAUCUCCACGCUCAACGUGGAGGCGCCACGUGAGACUGCUGUGACUCGAGUCCGGUAGGGGAGCGUGGAAUUCCCGGUGUAGCGGUGAAAUGCGUAGAGAUGUGGAGGAACACCGAUGGCGAAGGCAGCCCCCUGGGCCGAUACUGACGCUCAGGCACGAAAGCGUGGGGAGCAAACAGG